GAUGAACGCUGGCGGCGUGCCUAAUACAUGCAAGUCGAGCGAACAGAUAAGGAGCUUGCUCCUUUGACGUUAGCGGCGGACGGGUGAGUUACACGUGGAUAACCUACCCAUAAGACUGGGAUAACUUCGGGAAACCGGAGCUAAUACCGGAUAACAUAUUGAACCGCAUGGUUCAAUAGUGAAAGGCGGCUUUGCUGUCACUUAUAGAUGGAUCCGCGCCGUAUUAGCUAGGUGGUAAGGUAACGGCUUACCAAGGCAACGAUACGUAGCCGACCUGAGAGGGUGAUCGGCCACACUGGAACUGAGACACGGUCCAGACUCCUACGGGAGGCAGCAGUAGGGAAUCUUCCGCAAUGGGCGAAAGCCUGACGGGGCAACGCCGCGUGAGUGAUGAAGGUCUUCGGAUCGUAAAACUCUGUUAUCAGGGAAGAACAAAUGUGUAAGUAACUGUGCACAUCUUGACGGUACCUUAUCAGAAAGCCACGGCUAACUACGUG
rnacentral:rRNA from 1 species